rnacentral:rRNA from 1 species
GUGGGGAAUUUUGGACAAUGGGCGCAAGCCUGAUCCAGCAAUGCCGCGUGCAGGAAGAAGGCCUUCGGGUUGUAAACUGCUUUUGUACGGAACGAAAAGGCUCUGGUUAAUACCUGGGGCUCAUGACGGUACCGUAAGAAUAAGCACCGGCUAACUACGUGCCAGCAGCCGCGGUAAUACGUAGGGUGCAAGCGUUAAUCGGAAUUACUGGGCGUAAAGCGUGCGCAGGCGGUUUUGUAAGACAGGCGUGAAAUCCCCGGGCUCAACCUGGGAAUGGCGCUUGUGACUGCAAGGCUGGAGUGCGGCAGAGGGGGAUGGAAUUCCGCGUGUAGCAGUGAAAUGCGUAGAUAUGCGGAGGAACACCGAUGGCGAAGGCAAUCCCCUGGGCCUGCACUGACGCUCAUGCACGAAAGCGUGGGGAGCAAACAGGAUUAGAAACCCCAGUAGUCC